rnacentral:rRNA from 1 species
GAUGAACGCUGGCGGCGUGCCUAAUACAUGCAAGUCGAACGCAUAGCGAAAGGUUCUUGCCCCUUUCAAGGUAGUGGCGAACUGGUUAGUAACACGUUGACAACCUGCCUCAAUGCUGGGGAUAACAUUUGGAAACAGAUGCUAAUACCUAAUAAAACUUAGUGUCGCAUGACACAAAGAUAAAAGGCGCUUCUGCGUCACCUAGAGAUGGAUCCGCGGUGGAUUAGGUAGUUGUUGGGGUAAAGGCCUACCAAGACAGGGAUGCAUAGCCGAGUUGAGAGACUGAUAGGCCGCAUUAGGAGUGAGACAGCGACAAAACUACUGAGGUAGGGUGCAGUAGGGAAUCUGAGACAGUGGGGGAAAGCAUGAUGGAGUAACGGCGAGUGUGUGAUGAAGGCUUUGGGGUCGUAAAGACCUGUUGUAUGGGAAGAACCGCUAGAAUAGGAAAUGAUGUUAGUUUGACGGUAACAUAUAAGAAAGGGACGGCUAAAUACGUG